GACGAACGCUGGCGGCGUGCUUAACACAUGCAAGUCGAACGGAAAGGCCCUGCUUUUGUGGGGUGCUCGAGUGGCGAACGGGUUAGUAACACGUGAUUAACCUGCCCUUGACUUUGGGAUAACUUCAGGAAACUGGGGCUAAUACCGGAUAGGAGCUCCUGCUGCAUGGUGGGGGUUGGAAAGUUUCUGCGGUUGGGGAUGGACUCGCGGCUUAUCAGCUUGUUGGUGGGGUAGUGGCUUACCAAGGCUUUGACGGGUAGCCGGCCUGAGAGGGUGACAGGCCACAUUGGGACUGAGAUACGGCCCAGACUCCUAAGGGAGGCAGCAGUGGGGAAUAUUGCACAAUGGGCGGAAGCCUGAUGCAGCAACGCCGCGUGCGGGAUGACGGCCUUCGGGUUGUAAACCGCUUUCGCCUGUGACGAAGCGUGAGUGACGGUAAUGGGUAAAGAAGCACCGGCUAACUACGUG
rnacentral:rRNA from 1 species